CGGCGAGUGAAGCGGGAAAAGCCCAUCGUUGAAUCUCCCGGGGCCUAGCCCAGGGCGAGUUGUGACGGUAUGGAUUGGCUUUCUAGUGUGGCGCGCCGACCAAAGUCCUCCGGAUUGAGGCGCCAAAGAGGGUGACAGCCCCGUAGACGGUCGGCGCAAAGCGCGUAUGUUACCAACUCCUAGAGUCGGGUUGUUUGGGAUUGCAACCUAAAGCAGGUGGUAAACUCCAUCUAAGGCUAAAUAUGGACACGAAACCGAUAGCGAACAAGUACCGUGAGGGAAAGUUGAAAAGAACCCUGAAAAGAGAGUUAAAAGUACGUGAAACCGCUAACGGGGAAGCGGAAGGCAGUGUCGAGACUGUGCGUGGUGGGCGGUCAAUUGCGGCCGUCAGCUGCGCGUAGUGCGUCAGGCCUGCUGGUGGGCGUGCGGAAGCGGGGCAUGGCUCUCGUAGGCUCUUCGGACUCUACGUUUGCGGCCCUGUGAAAGUGCGCGUGCUGGCAUGUUUGUGGAGAAGCGCCGGCGGCCAUCUUCGGAAGGUCGGUUGAUGCUUGGGGGUGCUGCGUCGUGUCUAAAGUUUGGGCACGGCGUCGUGGC
rnacentral:rRNA from 1 species